AUGUCCCACAACACGAGUUGUUGUUUUUUUUUUCCCCUCCCCCCUCUGUCCUUUUUCAAGGUGCAGAAGUUGUCCCGCUCUCUCUCCGCUUUCCUCCUCCUCCCCCAGAAGAGGGGAUCUCCUCAGGCACAGACCGGGGCCGAGGCGGUGCCAGCGGCAGGGCGGCCUCUCCCGCCCCCCGCCCACCCAGCCGCGGCGCUAGGGCUCCCGCUGCCUGACGGCGCAGCGCCGCAUGGCCGCGGCACCGGGGAGCCCGCCGCUACCGGCCGCGCGAGCAGCGCCGCGAAGGGGAGAGAGCGAUCCCGCGGAGAAGACGGGGAGGGCGGAGGUGCCCGCCAGCGGCCGGGGAUGGAGACAGAGGGGAAGGACGAUCCGGUCCGCCGGGCAGAGCGGCGCUCCGCAGCGAGUCCAGCCUUCUCCCCUUCCCGGCCUGUCCCGCGGAUCCGCAGCGAGCGGGACACUUCGCGCGGGUCGGUAGCAACAACGAGACGUCCUCCACUCCCCAGCCACAGCUCCGCUUGUAAUCUCUGCAACAAGAGCAGCGCCGGCCCUUCAAGUAAAAAGGAGGAGGGAGAGGAGGAGGAGGGGGGGACGGUGGUCACGCCCACAGGUGAAGACCGCGCGGAGCGGCCCUUCUCCCGGCGCCGCACCACCUGCGUGCGUCCGCCGCAGCCGCGAUCCGGCUCGGAGUCUUGCUCGGCUGAGCUACUCCAGCUCUGCUCGCUGCCGCCUCGGCCGGGGGCAAGAAUUUUCAGAGAAAAGGCAAUGGAGCUUAAUACUGAGAAAGGAGCGAGCUCCGAAGAGUGGUUGUUUCCUUUGAUGUUCUAAUGCACAACAGAGAGGUGAGGGCAUAUAUGGUGAUGGCCUGAAAACUAAAGCAGUUUUCUUCUGCUGCCAGAAUCACACAAUUUAUUUUACUGAUAAUACUUCAUUGUAAAGAGGAUUUUUUUUGAAUACUUCAUCACUAAAAUUCCAACAUUAAAAGGUAAGACUCAGAAGUCUUAUUUCUGAAGUGCCAAAACACUCAGUUGGGAAUACAGUUGGUCAAAUCUUUUAGUCCUUUGUUUAGAGCUUUGUCAAAUGGGCCCGGAAAACAAAUAUUCUUAACAUUUGAAAACUUUAUUUAAGGACCAUUAAAAGAAUAUUCAUUGAGUAUUAAAAAAUAUCUGUUCAAAUACAGUUUGGGUACAGAUUUAGCAAAG
ensembl:lncRNA